rnacentral:rRNA from 1 species
AUUGAACGCUGGCGGCAGGCUUAACACAUGCAAGUCGAGCGGAGAUGAGGUGCUUGCACCUUAUCUUAGCGGCGGACGGGUGAGUAAUGCUUAGGAAUCUGCCUAUUAGUGGGGGACAACAUUCCGAAAGGAAUGCUAAUACCGCAUACGUCCUACGAGAGAAAGCAGGGGAUCUUCGGACCUUGCGCUAAUAGAUGAGCCUAAGUCGGAUUAGCUAGUUGGUGGGGUAAAGGCCUACCAAGGCGACGAUCUGUAGCGGGUCUGAGAGGAUGAUCCGCCACACUGGGACUGAGACACGGCCCAGACUCCUACGGGAGGCAGCAGUGGGGAAUAUUGGACAAUGGGGGAAACCCUGAUCCAGCCAUGCCGCGUGUGUGAAGAAGACCUUAUGGUUGUAAAGCACUUUAAGCGAGGAGGAGGCUACUGAGACUAAUACUCUUGGAUAGUGGACGUUACUCGCAGAAUAAGCACCGGCUAACUCUGUGCCAGCCGCCGCCGUAA